rnacentral:rRNA from 1 species
AUACGUAGGGGGCAAGCGUUAUCCGGAUUUACUGGGUGUAAAGGGAGUGUAGGUGGUCUGGCAAGUCAGAUGUGAAAGCCCGCGGCUCAACUGCGGGACUGCAUUUGGAACUGUCAGACUGGAGUGCAGGAGAGGAAAGUGGAAUUCCUAGUGUAGCGGUGAAAUGCGUAGAUAUUAGGAAGAACACCAGUGGCGAAGGCGGCGUUCUGGACUGUAACUGACACUGAGGCGCGAAAGCGUGGGGAGCAAACAGGAUUAGAUACCCUGGUAGUCCACGCUGUAAACGAUGAAUACUAGGUGUGGGGGGACUGACCCCCUCCGUGCCGCAGUUAACACAAUAAGUAUUCCACCUGGGGAGUACGAUCGCAAGAUUGAGACUCAAAUGAAUUGGCGGG